rnacentral:rRNA from 1 species
UACGGAGGGUGCAAGCAUUAAUCGGAAUUAUUGGGCGUAAAGGGCGCGUAGGCGGAUAGAUAAGUCAGAUGUGAAAUUCCGGAGCUCAACUUCGGAGCUGCAUUUGAAACUAUAAAUCUAGAGGGAUGGCGGAGGAAAUGGAAUUCCACGUGUAGCGGUGAAAUGCGUAGAUAUGUGGAAGAACACCUGUGGCGAAAGCGGUUUUCUAGCUAUUACCUGACGCUGAGGCGCGAGAGCAAGGGGAGCAAACAGG